AUUGAACGCUGGCGGCAGGCCUAACACAUGCAAGUCGAACGAGUGGCGGACGGGUGAGUAAUGUCUGGGAAACUGCCUGAUGGAGGGGGAUAACUACUGGAAACGGUAGCUAAUACCGCAUACCAUCGGAUGUGCCCAGAUGGGAUUAGCUAGUAGGUGGGGUAAAGGCUCACCUAGGCGACGAUCCCUAGCUGGGCUGAGAGGAUGACCAGCCAAACUGGAACUUGGACACGGGCCAGACUCUUACGGGAGGCAGCAGUGGGGAAUAUUGCACAAUGGGCGCAAGCCUGAUGCAGCCAUGCCGCGUGUGUGAAGAAGGCCUUCGGGUUGUAAAGCACUUUCAGCGGGGAGGCGUUACCCGCAGAAGAAGCACCGGCUAACUCCGUGCCAGCCGCCGCGGUAAUAC
rnacentral:rRNA from 1 species